rnacentral:rRNA from 1 species
GUAAAGAGCUCGUAGGCGGACUGUCGCGUCGCCUGUGAAAGCCCGUGGCUCAACCACGGGUUUGCAGGCGAUACGGGCAGACUAGAGUACUGCAGGGGAGACUGGAAUUCCUGGUGUAGCGGUGGAAUGCGCAGAUAUCAGGAGGAACACCGGUGGCGAAGGCGGGUCUCUGGGCAGUAACUGACGCUGAGGAGCGAAAGCGUGGGGAGCGAACAGGAUUAGAUACCCUGGUAGUCCACGCUGUAAACGGUGGGCGCUAGGUGUGGGUUUCCUUCCAUGAAAUCCGUGCCGUAGCUAACGCAUUAAGCGCCCCGCCUGGGGAGUACGGCCGCAAGGCUAAAACUCAAAGAAAUUGACGGGGGCCCGCACAAGCGGCGGAGCAUGUGGAUUAAUUCGAUGCAACGCGAAGAACCUUACCUGGGUUUGACAUGGACUGGAAAGCCGUAGAGAUACGGCCCCCCUUGUGGUCGGUUCACAGGUGGUGCAUGGCUGUCGUCAGCUCGUGUCGUGAGAUGUUGGGUUAAGUCCCGCAACGAGCGCAACCCUUGUCCUGUGUUGCCAGCGCGUAAUGGCGGGGACUCUCAGGAAACUGCCGGGGUCAACUCGGAGGAAGGUGGGGACGACGUCAAGUCAUCAUGCCCCUUAUGUCCAGGGCUUCACACAUGCUACAAUGGCGCGUACAGAGGGCAGCGAUAUCGCAAGAUGGAGCGAAUCCCUUAAAGCGCGUCUCAGUUCGGAUUGGGGUCUGCAACUCGACCCCAUGAAGUCGGAGUCGCUAGUAAUCGCAGAUCAGCAACGCUGCGGUGAAUACGUUCCCGGGCCUUGUACACACCGCCCGUCAAGUCACGAAAGUCGGUAACACCCGAAGCU